rnacentral:rRNA from 1 species
UACGGGGGCAAGCGUUGUUCGGAAUUACUGGCGUAAAGGGCUCGUAGGCGGCCAACUAAGUCAGACGUGAAAUCCCCAGGCUCAACCUGGGAACUGCGUCUGAUACUGGAUGGCUUGAAUUCGGGAGAGGGAUGCAGAAUUCCAGGUGUAGCGGUGAAAUGCGUAGAUAUCUGGAGGAAUACCGGUGGCGAAGGCGGCAUCCUGGACCGACAUUGACGCUGAGGCACGGAAAGCGUGGGGAGCAAACAGGG